CUGGGCAGUGAAGUGCCACUUAACCCCGCUGUGAUGCACAGAUCUUGCCCUGGCUGUCUACACAGGGCUGUAUUUCACCCCGUCAGAGUGUAUUCUAAGGGCCCCCCGUGCAUCAUAUGGGCGUUCUUGGGGGUGCAGAUGGCAUCAGACCUGCACCUGAAUAAAUAAUAGGGAAUGAAAUAUGCAGACACUAAAGUUCUGCAGCCAAAUUCUCAGAAACCUUCCUCUUCCAUAUAGGAUCAGGAUUUUGGUUUGAAUUCAUUUUUUUUUAAAAAGUGCUAAGCAGAAUGCUACACUGUAAGAAGAGGAAAGCGAAUCAAAAACUGAAAGAUUGUUACUAAAACCAAUGAACAGCUGCAGAGAGUGCAGACCCGGCAAAGCAAACAAAUGAAUACUGAAAAGGAUCCCCAAAGGAGGUGUACGGAUCCGGGACUCUAAUGUCUGCCAGAAGCUUCAGCCACCUUCACAGGUUAGAGCUCACCGUCCAUUGCGGAGGUGAAGACCGGAUGAGAGCUGC